rnacentral:tmRNA from 1 species
GGGGGCGAAACGGUUUCGACGGGGGUUGGAAAUCGCUCGACGCAUGUCGCGGAGACUACGGACCGUGUUAAAACCUGUGGUAAAACAAAGCUGCCAACACUGACAGCUACGCCCUCGCGGCUUAGUUCUGCGAGCGCCCCUGCCAACCAUCCUGCGGGUAGGAUUUGGGGUGUCGACACAGUAGGAUAGCCAACCCACGCACCGCCUGAGCGUGGGCGCGCGAAAUCAAUCAGGACACCUCCAAAAGGCAGCCUGUCGAUGGGCGUCCAAGCGGAGGUAAAGAAAAACAUCGACUAAACAUGUAGUGGCGUUCGACGGAUAACUUUCGGACCCGGGUUCGACUCCCGGCGCCUCCACCU